GCUUCAGUGGUUUAGUGGUAAAAUUAGCCGUUGCCAAGCAAUUCCACAGUUGCGCAACUUCGGCUAGCCCCGUGUUCGAUUCACGGCUGAUGCA